rnacentral:rRNA from 1 species
UAGGGAAUCUUCGGCAAUGGGGGGAACCCUGACCGAGCAACGCCGCGUGAGUGAAGAAGGUUUUCGGAUCGUAAAGCUCUGUUGUUAAGGAAGAACGAGUGUGAGAAUGGAAAGUUCAUACUGUGACGGUACUUAACCAGAAAGGGACGGCUAACUACGUGCCAGCAGCCGCGGUAAUACGUAGGUCCCGAGCGUUGUCCGGAUUUAUUGGGCGUAAAGCGAGCGCAGGCGGUUAGAUAAGUCUGAAGUUAAAGGCAGUGGCUCAACCAUUGUAGGCUUUGGAAACUGUUUAACUUGAGUGCAGAAGGGGAGAGUGGAAUUCCAUGUGUAGCGGUGAAAUGCGUAGAUAUAUGGAGGAACACCGGUGGCGAGAGCGGCUCUCUGGUCUGUAACUGACGCGGAGGCUCGAAAGCGUGGGGAGCGAACAGG